AGUAAAAAAGUUCAGGUGCCCGCUAUUCUGCCACUUUUCAAUUUCGUUAUCCCGCUGCACCCUCACCUGCUCUCGUAAAUUUUUUCUAUUCAUUCAAUUUUGUCUCCGCUCUUGCAAAUCCUCUCUAGUUCGAAAAUUUUGGGUUUUUCAUAGAAAAAUUCGAGUCGUUAAUUGCGACAUCAGAUGUUGAGCUGCUCGAUAGAGCUUGACACAACGAAAAACCUGCUCAAGAAAUUCUUCAAUUCCAGGCUCUUUUGGUUCAGAGAUCUUAUCCUCAACAGAUCUCGCUAGCAAAUUCAAUCUAUGGUAUACAUUCUCUCUCAAUCAAAAACCCUAAUUUUUUUUGUAGUAUAACACUUUUUAAAUACAAUUGACAGUCAGUUCAGAAUUUCUCUUUCUUAAAUUUCGUAUGAUAAAUUAAUAAUACAUUUAUUAUUAGACUACAAGAUCUGGCUGAAACAACUGGAAAUUUUGGUGCUUUUUAAUUGGGAAAAAUCUGCUAACUGGCUAACUGCUCCAAUUUUGUAAUAAGCUGGUUUCUUGGAUUAGAAGUGAAAGAGAUGCAGUUACAAUUGCUUUUUCUAAUUUAAUAUCUCACCCUUUUGCUGCUUGCUACUUGUUGAAAUUGUCGAUUAACCUGAAUGGCAGCUCUAUGCUCUCGUUAUUGUCAAAAUCUUAAACUUCAGAUUAUGCAGUUCUUGAAGCAAUAUCAACGGCGACUUCAGAUUCGCCUAAUUCAUCAAUUCCAGUCCAAAUCAGUAGAAUUUGGGUGAUUAAAAUUCCCAAGUUCAUUUCGAGUUUCCAUUAUUAUCUCCAUAUCUUGCUUAUUAGUAGAAUUUGGGUGUUUCAAAUCCUGUGUAUUCUUCUUAAAAAAAAUUCGGAAUGUUAUUCUAAUGGGUUGAGAAAUUGGGGUUUCUAACUUUUUAUUUAUUUAUUAUUUUUUGGGUUUGUUUUUGGUUAAAUUGAAUUGAGGUCAGGUUCGAAUCAUUGACCUGAAUUACCCGGUGAUGAAUUGAACUUGAAGUAACCCAAUUUGAUCCUUUGUCGUUGCUCUUUUCUUACGCGUUUGAUUAUGAUUUUGGAUUCCAUUUAUGUUUUUCUCAAUUGGAUUAGUUUCUCUGUUUGUUAAAAUGGUCUAAUAUCAAUUGAAUUAGGAAAUGAAGUUAGGGUUUGAGUUAUUGCUUUUGCUAAAUAUGAUAGAACUACAUAAACGAAAACUGUAGUUUAAGCGCCUAAGGCGUUUCAUGGAUAAGUGUCAUUGUAAAAAAGUUGUUUGUUUUGUGAAUAUCUUAGUAAAGAGCUUAAUAUUAGCAAAGAAAAAUUUUAUGUUUAAAAGAAAUGGUUUUUUUGGAGUCACUAUGAACUUCAGGAACUCGGCUUCAACGGACAUCCCGAGUCAAUUUCGUAAUUCACCUUCGUUUUAUAGAGUUCUUAUGCCUUAUAUCUCAAAUUUGUUAUUUUUAAUUAAUUCAUGUGAUUUAUGUCAGUUUUAUCUGAUAUGUUUUAUGCAAUAAGUGCUACUCUUGGUUGUUCUUUUUCUCUGUUUUUCUUUUUCCAAAUUAAUUUCAGGAUUGAAGAAUGUUUCAUCCAAAUUCUGGUCAUGGUUUCAUGGUCUGUGCAGGACAUAUAUGAACAAAGUUGGGUAAAAAGUAUGAUAAGGAGAAAUCAGAAAAGUUUGACUCCUAAAUCUGUUGCUUCCGUUUUAAGGUGUAAAAUAAGUACUGGUGGAUUGAAUCUAAAAUAAGUAAUGUUGCUUCUGUUUUGAGUGAACUCCUAAUGUUUAUCUUUACUGCUGUUGUUGCUGCUACUUCUGUUUUAAGGUUUUAAAUAUGUUCUAAAUCUUGUUAUAUAUUGAAUCUGAACAUUUCAAGAUGAUCAGAGUUACAUGUACAGAAGCAAACUAAUUGAAACAAGGGUAGUUGAGUUGUUAGCAUGUUGUCUAAACUCUAAAGUUCUUUUCAUAGAUUGAAUUGAUUAGGAUGCUGAGUUCGUGGUUACACAAGUUUGGUUUUAGUGUUAGAAUGGGUAUUUGAGGUGAAAUAAAGAGCCGGGAGUACCCAUAGGCUUUAGGACUCACUGAGUAAUUGAUCUGAUGACUAUCCUGGAAUUGCAGUGGACUAUUUUCAGUCACUUUUGUCACUAAAGUUAAAUGUAGUGCCUGAAGUGUUGUCAUGAUAAUUCUUCUUUGCUGCUGGGUUUUGGCCCUUCCUAGAAGGUUCGGAAACACAGUUUUGAACUAGGUUAUAACUGUGUUCAGUUUUGAAUAUAUCAGCUAUAACUGUAAUUGUGUUAUGUUACAGUUGCUUAUGACCUCACUGUGCACCCUAACCUUCAUGGUGGAUAUCUUGCUUUAACUUCACAUGUACUUUAAUGAUUCUCUUUCUUCUGGUCAGUAAAAUAAUGUUCUUCAACCUGCUUGGAUGUUUUCUUCAUUAGAUCGAUUCAAUAAUGAAAAUAAAUUCAUGUUUCCACAUUUGAAACUUGUAGUAUAGUACCUGUGUUAUGUAACAUAGUACUAUACCAAAAAUUUCCUUAAUAGACUGAUAUUGAAGUUACUCUUAAACCGAUGUUUUGUUACCUAUCAUGUUUAUGUUUCCAUUCAAUACUGAAAAUAAAAUCCCACCCGACUCAUGUUUCCACAACAAGCAUCAACAAUGAUCAACAUAGUUUAAAUUUAGCAAUCUCUUGAUAUGUACUGAAUCAUGCCGCAAUGUCUACCAGAGAAAAUGCUGCUAGAGUGUCAGUACGUGCUAGUCGAAAGACAUGAUUUUUAAGCAUUAAGCAUAUCCGUUUUACCUUUCUCAUCGGUCUUUAAUUGAAUCUCUCUGACACGUCCUGUGAUCUCUGUAAUUUUCUUUGUUCGGUCAGAGACAAUAUACAAGGUACAUUGUCUUGAUUAGGAGCUGUACCUAGUUCAUCAGAUGCGUUGCAGCAACGAGCUUAAAAUGGUGGAUUCCGAUUGCCAUUUGCAUAAUUUUUAUCCUUCUCAGGGAUUCCAUAGCUUUUCUGCUUGGAAAAUUUUAUUACAACAAGGGAGGGAACAACAAAUGGAUGGUUACACUGGUGCUAGAUUUCCCAGUUUUACUUCUCCUUUAUUACAUUUUUCCAGAGCAAUAUACCCAAGAAAACGCACCAAAAAUGCAGCCUCCAUUCAUAAAGGGUUCAUCAAUCUACAUAGUCUUGGGGUUGUUCGGAGUAGGAGCGAGUAUGCUGUACUCAGUAGGACUUGCAUAUAUGUCAGUCUCUACAUUUUCUCUCAUAUGUACUUGUUCAGUGUGUUGUUGUGUACAGAUGUAUGCAUUACUAAUAAAUAUGACUUUUUCACUUGUUUUGUUCCAGCUUCAAGCUGAAUUUCGCUAUCAAUGUAUUGGCACUUAUGCCUUGACAGAGUCAAUGUUUCCCCUAUUAGAGAAGGCUGCACCUGAUUCCCAAUUAGAUGUAAAUGUAUUUCGCUGUUGAUUCCCUUGCUAGAGAUGCUAGGACAUUUUCAACUGAUUGAUGGUAAUAUUGCUAUGUUUCUUUGGUAGUCAUGAUGUUAAUCAUGACAGUGAUGGUAGGGCAGGGCCAAGGGCACACUUAAACACGUUCUUCUCGGAACUGGUGCGGCUAAUACCAUGCAGGGCAUCUGUUUCUCCAUUUAGCCUUAUCCCACCAACCCAGACAUGCUGCAACGCCAUCAAAACUCUAGGACAUCCUUGUUUGUGUGUGCUUGGCCCGCCUAUAUCUGGUGUUGAUCGAAGCAUGACCUUGCAGCUCCCUGAAAAGUGUGCCCCAAUUUUGAUCCAUGAGUUCUCAAUUGGUCAGAAUUGGAAACAUAGUUGACAACUUUGAAGUCAAAUUUACCAGCCUUGCAGGAUCCAAGUUACGGGGCUUUUGUGCAAUCAAUUUGGCCUGUGUUCAUUGUGCAAGCAUCAUAGAGAGGAAUUUCAGUAUAACACAUAACAUAAUCACAAACAAAAGGAGAGGAACUUAUACAGAUAUUUGAAGGUUAUUUAGAACUUAAACAUACAAAUUAUCUUUUAUGAUGAAUGGAUGUGAUUUUAUGGUUUCAUCUAACUUCCCUAUGAUGUAAUUUUUUUUUCAGGAAUGAAAUUACCUUUUUGUUUUCA